rnacentral:tRNA from 1 species
UGGCUCAGAGGUUAAAGCAUCUGCCUGCAAUGCAGGAGACCUGGGUUUGAUCCCCUG